CCCUUCAGUCUGCGCCGACGCGGCGGCCGGCUCCCGGGGACUCCCCGAGCUGGGAAUCUCCCGCCAGCUGCGCGCUGCGUCCCGGCGACGGCAGGAGCACGUGGAGCCACUGGGCAGCCAGAGCCGCCGCUCCAGCCCAGCCCAGCCCAGCCCAGCCCGGCGGCGAGAUGGAAGCAGAGAGAGUUCCUUCUGAAUCUCGGUUUUGCUUCUAUUUAUUUCUUUUGUCAGAAGUAAAUAUGAGGCAUUUCAGAGGGCGAAGCGUGUGCCGGCUUUCAUACAUCUCUCAUUUGCUCCCUACCCCCUCCCCGCACUUAACUUUGGAAAGUGAUAACUUCUCCGCAAUUUCAUUUCUUAGGAGUUGUCAGGGGUCAGUUCUUGAGUCUGCAGAGGAAGAGUACUUAGGACGAGGUGUCCCUGAAUUGGCAGCAAACCUGAGUUGGAAUAACUAAUCCUUUUGGAUGAUUUUUUUUCCGUCCAUGGCCUUACUGUCCGUUGGAAUUAGGCUAAUAUGAGCGACUUCUUUAGAAUGAAAGGAGAUUGUUUUUCCUCCUAAAGACAAAUGCUGUCAUAUGGGGAGGUAAAUGUUAAAGUAUUGGCAAGUAGCGGUUCCUUUGGAACUCCAUCUUCUAAUGAUAACUUUACUCAAAGCAAAAAUCAAGCUCGCGUUGAGUUUCAUUUGAAUUAAUUUUGAAAGUCAUAAAACUCUUCGCUUCUCAAAAAUGUUUCAGUAUGUACUUCCUUGGGAUAGCUAAAAUUUCCCACUACUAUUUGGUAGUCUAAACUUUGCAAUAGUCUUUUCAACAAGUGUUUGAAAAUGGCAGAUGCAUCUCAGAUUGGGGGAGGUAGUGACAGAAAACCAGAAUUUGUGAGAAUAUAUUCAUUCUGUUGAUAAAUGAGAUACUGACACCUAAAUAAAAUGUUCACUUGGUAAAUAUUAUGAAUAGCAUGGAUAUUUUCUUCAUAGUAAUCUAAGGCUCUCUUAUUGCCAGGGAACCUUGAUCUUUGUCUGCCUUAGGUCUAGAGUAUAUGAAGUUAUUAAAACCUAAUUGAAUACUUUGGAAUAUAAGAUAGAUUUUUGUUUCAUAAUGUAAUUGAGUACAAUACUGGGGUACUAAGUCCUCAAUUUGUACAUGGAUAUGUUUACAAUUUUUUUUAAACUGACUUGGCUUUUAUAAACAUUUUUUUUCCCUCUAAGUAGAAUGCUAAAUGCUAAAUCAAUGAACAGUGUGUAUUUAGUAUGUGUAUAGAAAAAUUUAAAUGACUAUUGAAUAAUACUUCAAAGUUCUCUUAUGAAAAACUCUUUAUGCUUUACAUUUGAAAAUACAAGUCUAAAAAUUUGCACUUUGAAUAUUUGAAAAGUGAUUUAUGAUGUGCAAUUUUUACAUGUAAAGAUUUCAUUGGCCAAGAACAGGAAAAAAAAUUAGGUUGCUGUACACUAUGAACAAGUAAUUUAAAAAACUGUCAUGCUUUAGUUCUUAUAAAUUAAUUGCUGAAUUGGUUUUGUGAAAUUAUAAAUCAAUAAUCCAACACUUUUUUUUCCCUAGUCUUAAUCAUUUCACUUCUCAGGAAUAACGUACAGAGUAGUGUAAAACAGUGGAAACUGGAAUGUUUCUCUGCAAAUGUUUAUAUUUCUGAGUUCACUUAUUUAAGAUGAAAUAAAUUAUUAACUAAAUAGCAUAAUUUAGGAUAUUAAAGCCCUGACUUUUAGAUAAGCCUGAAUAAGAAAGGAGUGAAAAGUUGGGUAGGAUUUGAUUUGGAAUGUACAGACUGUAAGAGGAAAGAGAUAGAAUAUAGAAUAUGAAUCAGUGAUAAGUUGUAAAUUUAUGCAAGUAGAUUAUAUUCAUAGGUCCAUAGAGAUAGAAGUUAUGUGGUAUGCUUAAUGCAAAUACUUCAGUACUUAAAGCAAAAGAUAAAAUUGACAAAAAGUUUAUUGCUGUGAAUUUGGCUAUUUUAACAUCAGGUCCCUGAGGACCAGAGUAUUUGAUGUAGUAAAAUAUCUGAUUCAUUAUAGCCACCCAAGAUUGACUAAUCUGACUCAUGUGUUUGAUAUUUAAAAUAAAGCGCUUUUAUAUUAUUUCGAUAUCUUGGUCUCAAUCUAGAAUUUGACCUGUAGUGUAUACCUCUCAUUUCUUGGCAAUGUAAGAAAGUAGAGUACCUUAUGGAAUACUUUUAUUUUCUGCCUAAUUUGGGGGUUGAAUUAAUAUGCUAUAGUUUAGUGUGAAAUGUGAUGCUAUUUAGUCAAUCAUUCCUUCAGCAUAUAAACUCUUUUAAAAAAUUCAUUCAUUUUUUUAUCAUCACCAGACAUUUAUCGAGGCUUUCUAUAUCUGAAGAUGUCAAAUGAAUAAGCUUUUGAAGAGGAAGCUUGUCAUGUAAAAAUGGAAAGAGUUAAGGCACCUAAUAAAUCAAAAGCUGUAAUUUUUUUCUUUUUUCACAAUUUGUGAUCUUAAAUAUUUUCUAUCCGGAGGUUCUUUAUGUUACUAACGUUUGUUAUCUGUGCUUAAUUAUAUCCUUUCUGUCUGGUAUGGUUGAGAAAUGGGUGGUUCAUAAAUAUGAAUUUCACAGGUGUUGGCAUAGUUGUCAUUUAAUAUAAAAUGUUUUAUUUAAACAAUAUUGGAUAGAGAUCUAAGAGUAUUUAUUACACAGCCCUUUUCUUUAUUUAAAAAGGUACAUAGGAAAAAAACUUUAUCUUGGUGACCUAGGGUCCCUAUUCUGACCAUCAGGUAAUGUGUGGUUCUAUAGUAUAUUCUCACGGCAGCCGGGGGAGGGGCGGGGGGAGGGUUGAACUGUGUGGAACUGGAUGUCCCUGCACUAAAUAAUCACAGGUUCUUGUGUAAUUUUUGUCUCCUUCUUGAUGUCAGCUUCUCCUUCGCACCACACAGCUUUUGUGGUAGCCAUUUUUCAUUUCUAGGUCCUUCUCUAUGCUCCGAAUGGUUGGGAUUUACAAAAAUAAAGCCUCCAGGUGGUGGGGUUGACUAGCCCUCCAUUACGAACAUGUGAAGACUGAAAUGGUAAAGUUCAAAGGAACAAAAGCCACAGAAAGACCAUGGGGUCGUAGUAGAACAUAAUUUUAGAAAAUUCCUCUUUGUGCUCCCUAUAAUCCGAGAUGCUACUUCACACUUGCAUGUCUGUGCUACAGUUUUCACCCCAUUCUUUACCUAGUUAUGCCUACUCAUCUUUCAGAUUUUUCUCAGGCAUUCUCACCAUGAAGGACCUCCCUCUCAUGAAUUUCCCUAGUGCCUUCUGUUGGUCAUUCUACCCAGUCUUUUGCCUCUCUCCAAUUAGGCUAAGGGCCUUUCCUUACUGUGCCUAUUUCUGCCAACAAUAUUGAAAUUAUUUAUUGAUUUAAGUGUGUUCUCCCAUUGGUCUUUAAGAUUCUGAGGGUAGAAACUGUGCCUUAUUUUUCUAUGCUCUGUGUUAGGAACAGUUUGUGGUUCAUAGAAGACCCUCAGACUUUGUUGCAUUCGGUUUAAAACAUGAUGCUGCAUGUAAUUUUCAUUCUGUUUAUUAUGAUGACUUUUAUUUAAUUAAUAUUUGUGAAUAAGGAUUGGUGCUAGUGAUUCUUUGUUAGAGAGGUCUCAGAAAAAUUUUAAAGUACUUAGACAGUCCUUUAAGUGGUACCAUUGAUAUAACAGAAAAAGAAAACUUAGAAAACCAAAAAAUAUUAUUGGUUUUUGGCUAGAAUAUCAUUUAUUGCUAACUCUUAUCUUUUAACUUUAUAUCUGCGAUUUCAGGAUCAUGUCUUAUUAGUCCAUUAACGUAUGGAUCAAAUAUGAACAGAAAUUUGUUUUGUCAAUCAGUAAGAUAUAUAGGUGGUGCCGUAAAAUUAGCGUACGUUUUCCAAUGAUACCUUUUUAAUACAUAGUUAUAAACUUGUCGUUAAUGUAUAAAUGUCUAUAUUUAUACUUACUUAGGACUCAAAGAUUAUUGGUAGAUCCUUUAUCAGACACCCAAUAUUAAUUGGCUCCUGACUCAAACGGUAGUUCUAGACCAGAUAGGAGAAGAACUGAGUGACUAACUGAAACCUGCCUAUAGUAAGUGCUCAAUAAAUAUUUCUGUGUGUGUGCUAAAGAUUCAUUAAUUAUUACGAAAAGAGAUUCUAAAUAUCACAAGGACAUAGAGUACACUCUGCUCUCAAGCCUUUUAAAAAUACAACUCUCCCAUUAACUGGUACAUUCAUAAAAAUUAGAAAUCAUAAGGAUGACCCCAAGGCUUUUUGAACCACUUUUUAAAAAAGAUGAAAUAAUAAAACAGUAAUUAUAUCUCUAAUAUAUGUGGAUUAGUUGAAAAGUGGUCUAUAUAUAACUCAGUAAUUAUUACUCAAUAUCAGACUACUUUAAUCCAUAAUUACUUUGAAUGAGGUAAUUUUUUCAUCCUUAAUUUAAAUCUGCAUCCAAAAUUAAAGUUUGUAGGAUCCAAAGUGGUGUAGGGUAAAUAAAAAUAAUUUGGAGCUGAUAUCAUAUUAUAUUGGAUAUAUGUCCCAUUUAGGAGAGAUGACAAACUAAGUGUUUAUUAAUGGAUAUGAAACAGAAUAAAACACAUUUAUGGAACAGUACUUUUUACUUAUCGUCAAAAUCAGCUUGCCUUAUAACUUUUUAUAUCAAUGGAAUUGGCAACAUAUCACACAUUGUAUUUAUUAAUGAGUAUACUUAGAGAUAGCAUUUUUGGCACAUCAGGUUAUUUAUGCAUUUAUAAAGGAAACUUUUUUUUUUAAUAGGGGAAAUAGAAAACAUUUCAAUAGCAUCACUGAUGAAACAAUGCCAAACUAUGUUUCUACUCAUAACUCUUAAUUGCCCAAAGAUUACUUAACCAGGUUUCUUGCUUAUUUUGGUCAUUACUACACCUGUAGCCCCAUCUAGACUGUCAGGUUCCAAAGUGUAGGGAUCUUUUUAUCUCCAGUGAUAGCUAGUACCCAGCCAGAUCCCCAGCACAUAGUAGGGCUGCAGUCAUAUUCAUAGAAUAAAUUAAUGAAUGAGUUGCCAGUGUGUUUGGUAAUUUGACCAUUUAUUUGUUCGGCUCUUAUGGUAAAGAGAGUAAGGAAAAUAGUGACAUAGAAACUAGUUAAAUUUGCUGGUUAAUUUGUCGAGAUGCCGUUAAAGGUUUGGUAGACAAGUUUGGAAUAUUGGCUUAAUCCAACACGAUGAAUGCUGUUACCUUUUUCUAAUCCAAUAUUGCCUCUACCAUGGAGGAAAUAAUAUAGUGAAAUCUAACUUGGGUUCGUUUUAAAAUUUUGCUACAUUCUUUGUUUCAGUGUAGUACUGCAUACCCCAUAAUAAGCCAAAUUGUUUAUGUUCUGAUUCUUAAAGUUGCGAAUAAUAUAUUUUACUUAAUUUGAGCUCUCUAUCACAGCAUGAUCAGUUUAUCUGAAAAGUGUUAUCUAUUUGAGAAGCUAUUAACAUAUCAGAAUAUUUGGCACAUCAGAACAAUUUCCUGUAGUAGUAAUCAUAUAGACUCUAUGGAUAUGAAAAAAAAGAUUAUGCUCACUAAUCUAUAAAUACUUUUUAUAGCUAUGGAGUUACAUGAUAGCGGAUGUAAACUAUAAUAGGUCUGGUCUGAAGAACUAAUUUUUAUAACAUUUAACAACUAAUUUUUGCCAUUUAUCUCUGUAGUUAAAUAAUCACUUACUAAUACUCACUAUUAGUUGAUUGAUCAUAUGCUUGAGUACAGUGCAGAUAGUAUCACAAAUGUACAUCAGAGGCUUGAUUUAAAUUUCAUUUGACUUUUAUGUGUAUCAUUUACCAAAAUUUUAAUGCAUUGAGGAUUAUCCACAUAUAAAUUUACAUUCCGACCUCAAAAUAAAACUUUUGAACCAACUCCUUGAAAAUACUAAAAAUUUGAUGUGAGAUUGUAGUUCCACACUGGUAUUUUUUUUCCUGUGCCAAUUUGCUCAUGUAGAGUUAUUUAAAUAAGAAUAUCAAAGAGAGACUACUGCUAGACCUACCUAGCUGUUGCCGCUUUCCUUGCCCUGAUCAGCCCCUGGCAGCCCUCUGGAACUCUGGAGUUUCCAUAGAACACAUUUUGAAAACUACUGAUUCAGACUGUUACAUGUUUUUCCUGUUGGUAACCCUGUAUCUAGACUUGCCUCUUUGAAUUCAUUUUGAGGGUUGCUGCAAGAAUGAUCUUCCUGAAAUAUCAAGUUAUUCCCCUGCUCAACAAACAUCUUAAGUAUUUCCUAGUUGGGCAUUUAAAAUAAUCCACAGUGUGGCUUCAGUAUACCUUGUCAGUGGCAUCCUAUCUUGUAAAGUUGUUAUUCUGGACUGCUCAGUGUUCCCUGAGCACAUUGCUUUUCCUAACCCCCAUUCUAGGCUCUUCAAACUCAGCAAGUCCAAAAGUGAACUCACUGUCUCUCCAACCCAAACCAACUUCUGACUUCUCAACACUAAUAUCACCACAACUGUGCCAAUUGAAAUCCUCACUCAUCCAUUAUAGUCUGUCUGAAAUCCCUUGUCUUUUAGGAAGCUGUUCCUCAUUCUAAGGUGGAAUCUUUCCCUUUCCUGAAACUUAGUAACACUUUAUAUCUAUCUAAUGACUUCUAGACUCAAACUCCAUUUUAUGUAUAAACAUAAAGUGUGCUCUCAUGAUUUUAAAGCCAUCUAAAUUGUUUAAGAAUGCAACUGCUGUGUAAAUUAAGAGAUGAGUCUUUGUUUAGAGAGCCAAGACUUUUGCCAUUAUUGAUGCAGCCCUUGUAUCCUGCAUUUUUUAUCUUUUGCAUUCAUGGUGAUUCUAUAAACACACCUGACUACUUUCUUAUUGUGUCUUCUAGAAUAAUUGUGCUUUAUAUUUACAUGUUAAAAUUAAUUUAUUAUUUAUUUCACUAUUAUGUUACAGUUAGGGCUUUAAUUUUAGAAAACAUAUGUGUGGAGAGAUUAUAUUUAAUUUACGAUGACAAAGAGGUAUUAUAAAAUAUUUUUUCUAAAGUGAGGGGCAGCUGGCACCAUCUUGAGCUCUGCCCAUCCACUUCAGAUGCCUUAAUAAAUCUCUCUUGCCGUAUUGAAAAAUAAAUAUAGUGACUUGGUCUUGCUAAGGUUGAGAACUCUAAGUUUCCUAUACUACGAGAGACCGGCCGCAGUGUAAGAAAAUGUGUAUGAAAAUCACCUUGCAUUCUGCUAGAUGCAAAGUUAGUGUCCAGCAAAGUUCAGUUUAAUUUGUAAAUCAUUUGCAAGGAUGCUUUAGAUCCUUGCUAAGUAUGGUCUGCGGACCAGCAGCAUUGUGGAAUCUCAGGUGGGACUUGCUGAAUCAGAAUCUGCAUUUUAACAGGAUUUCUAGGACAUUCUUGUUCGUGCUGAAGUCUGAUAAGCAUUGCCCACAGUUUGAAAUGUAUCAGGGAAACUUAUUGCCAUUUUCAUAGCACAAGUUGGGUUAGUGGUUGAUUGCCUUUUUUUUUUUUUUUUUUGGCCACCCCAGAGACUAUGGGUCCAGGGAUCCAAGCCACACUUGUAAUGUAUGCUGCAGCUGUGGCAGCAUGGAUCCUUAACCCUCUGUGCUGGGCCAGGGAUUGAACCUGCAUCCAAGUGCUCCAAAGAUGCCACUGAUCUAUUUGCGCCACAGCAGGAACUCUCCUGGAUCAUCUUUAUAUAUGGACUUAGAAUGUAUUUUUUUAUUGUUUAAAUGCUGAUUUUAAAAGAUAGCUGGGCAAUGAAAGUUUUAUAAAUCUAAUUUUGACUUCCCUUAUAAUACAUUUUAUAACACAGUAUAAUCCAAAAGUCAGAAAUCUUUAUUCAUUCAUUCUUCAUUCGCAAAAAUAUUUAUCGAUUGGACUUCCCCUGUGGCUCGCAACAAAAAAAAUUCAUUGAAGAGUUUCCUUGUGGUGCAGUGGAUUAAGGAACUGAUGUUGUCACUGUAGUAGCUUGGCUUGCUGCUGUGACAUGGAUUUGAUUGCUGGCCCGAGAACUUCCACAUGCCGUGUGCACAGCCAAAAAAAAAUAAUUAUUGAAUGUCCUUUAUGUGCCAUAUAUGCAAAAUAUUGGCAAUGCAAUGAUGAACAAGACAAUGCUUUUGCCCUCAUGGGAUUUACAGUCCAAGAAGAAGACAGGCUCCCAAACAAAUAAAUCCCCAAUGAAAUAAUUAAAACUAUGCUAAAUAUUAUGAAGGAAAUUAAAGUCCUAAAAUGAAGGGUAAUGGUCAAGGGCAGCGCUGGUGAACCUCUCCUCCAGAAAAAAAAGAUCUGGCUAGAGAUAGAAAUUUGGUCAUCCUUCCACAUAGAUGAUAUUUAGCACAAUGGGAAUAAUUGGAGUCAUAGAGGAAAUGUAUUGUGAGAAUGGGGCUCAAGAUUGAACCCUGAGAAGCAUCUCAUUUAGGUGGUCAGGUAGAGGAGGAGGGGCCAGCAUAAGAGAAACAGCAGUGGCAAGACAGGUGAAAAACCAGGAAAGUAGGGUGUAGCAGAAUUCAAGAGAGAAGGUUUCAUGAAGGAGUGAGUGAUCAGCCCUGCUGAAGGUUGCUGGAAAAUCAGAUAAGGUGAGGGCAAAAAGUGUGGGUUGGUUUUGACAACAUGAAACUUGCAAGUGACCUUCACAAAAGUGCUUUUUGCAAAGUGGUGGGGAUGGAAACAGUUACAGCAGGAAUGGGAGUAGGGGAAGUAGAAACACUGAUACCAGCCAUUUCUCCCCCCCCCCCCAAGUUUAGCUGGGAGGGGAAGUGGAGAAAUAAGCGGGGCUGUUGUUGGAGAGAAAUGUGGAUCAGAGGUUUUAUUUGUUUGUUUUUGUUUUCCAAAGAUGAAAGACACAAACUAUCUGUAGCCUAAGUCCACUGAAAAAAAAAAAAUCAAAGAUCAAAAUUGAAACAAAUCUUGAAAUCUCAAUUCUCAGGAAAUUUGGAGAAUUUGCUAUCACUGAAAAUAUCUUCAUAUUUAUUUGGCAUGUAACAUGUAAAUAAAUUUCCUCACUGUGAGAAUUUU
ensembl:lncRNA